AUUGAGCCGUAAGUUAAAAUUAAUAACAUAUCGUGAACCCUUCUCCUUCUCUCACACUUUGUCAAGGAUGAACCCUACAUUUUGAAUCUGAAAUUGAAUCCAUCACCAGUUCAUAUUGAAUCUGAAAUUGAAUCCAUAUUGGUGAGCCCUUCUCUCACACUUUGUCAUCGAUUCUCAUCCCUCUCAAUUCCAUGAGUAUCGACGCCAAACCCGUUCACAUCUCAAAUCUGUGAGGAUCAAACUCGUCCCCCUCUCGAACCUCUGACCCUCUCGAAUCUGUGAUCCUCUUGAACCUGUCACCGUCACUCUCAGAGUCGCCGUUCAGUGUCGCUGUCUCGCUCUCAUGUGUGAACGACUUCAAGAUAUCAACCUCAAUGCAAAUAUGACUUUUGUUGUUGAAGAGUUCAAGAAUUGCAUACUCCAAUAAAAGAUGGUGGUCCUUUCUGGAAGCUUUAAAAGAACUCGCAUUUUGUGGUUGGACUAGAUAAUAUCAACAAAAAUUCAAAGUUUUGUUUCUCCCUGAUAAAAAUUCUGAGGAAAAUCGAGGAACAUAAGCCAAGAGAACAAAGAUUCAAGGCCAACGAGAACAAGCCUGUUAUGACAGAGUGAUGACAGCUUUGGCUGGUGCUACGGAAAUAGCAUGAAAUAGCAUGGUAUUUUUAUUUAUUUUACUGGUGCUACGGAAGUUGACAUUUUGCUUUGAUUUAUAGGCUUUCAUUUUGGUUAGGUUAAGAUUUUGAAGAAUCGUGUUAUUCCUAUUAGUAUCUUUUUGUAAAUUUGUUUUCUAUUUCGGAUUUUUGCUUUUAUUUGGUGCAGUGUAGUUUAGUUCUUUUUGUAACUUAUUUAACAUAUGUAUUAGUUAUUGCUAUUGUAUUGAUUUUGGAUUAGAUGAACACUGAAUAUACUAGUGUAUAUCGAGACAUUCUUGCAAAAUCUGUUGAUGAUUGGGUUGAGUUGUUGGUUGCAUUUGAUGGGUAGUUUGUUACAUGCAUCUUAGUUAAAAUUGUGAUUUCAGUUUGUAAAAUCACACUAUUUUGCAAUAAUGUUUACCCUCAACAAUUAGUGAGUUUUAUAUA